UACGUAGGUGGCAAGCGUUAUCCGGGAUUACUGGGCGUAAAGCGCACGCAUGCGGUCUUUUAAGUUUGACGUGAAAGCUCUCGGCUUAACUGGGAGAGGUCGUUGAACACAGGGAGACUUGAGGAAAUGAGAGGGGUGUAGAAUUCCCGGUGUAGUGGUGGAAUGCGUAGAUAUCGGGGGGAAUACCAGUGGCGAAAGCGGCACCCUAGCAUUUUUCUGACGCUCAUGUGCGAAAGCGUGGGGAGCGAACGGG
rnacentral:rRNA from 1 species